GACGAACGCUGGCGGCGUGCCUAAUACAUGCAAGUAGAACGCUGAAGAGAGGAGCUUGCUCUUCUUGGAUGAGUUGCGAACGGGUGAGUAACGCGUAGGUAACCUGCCUUGUAGCGGGGGAUAACUAUUGGAAACGAUAGCUAAUACCGCAUAACAAUGGAUGACACAUGUCAUUUAUUUGAAAGGGGCAAUUGCUCCACUACAAGAUGGACCUGCGUUGUAUUAGCUAGUAGGUGAGGUAAUGGCUCACCUAGGCGACGAUACAUAGCCGACCUGAGAGGGUGAUCGGCCAAACUGGGACGGGGACACGGCCCAGAAUCCUACGGGAGGCAGCAGUAGGGAAUCUUCGGCAAUGGGGGCAACCCUGAACGAGCAACGCCGCGUGAGUGAAGAAGGUUGUCGGAUCGUAAAGCUCUGUUGUAAGUCAAGAACGGGUGUGAGAGUGGAAAGUUCACACUGUGACGGUAGCUGAACAGAAAGGGACGGCUAACUACGUG
rnacentral:rRNA from 1 species